AGCUCUCUCUGACUGGUACACAGGACUACACAGGACUCAGUCUCAAAAUGAACCAGUUUAUGAGGAAAUUUAUCAGAGACACAAUCUAUGUACUCAGAGAGGGAGUCUCAUCACUCAAGACGCUGAUGAGCUUCUCUCAGAGAGGCUGAAUGAGAUCACUCCAGGAAUCUAUGAGGAUAUCUUCACUGGUGGACCGAUACCAGAUUGUGAAACAGUGGACACACCAGAGAAUUAUGAUGAUGUCAUCAUUAACGGACAGUGCUCACAAUGUGCAAAAGAGGGAGAUCAGGAGGGGUAUGACGAUGUGUGGAGUAUCACUGAAGAUGUGAGAAACCUGUUAGACUAUGAUGAUGUGGGGGAGGAGUCAAACAAUGAUGGAGGGGUAGUAUGACUCAGUGACCACACCCACUUUUUAUUUGAUUUUUAUUUCAAGUUUUUUGCAUUUGAUUUUUUAAUAUUCUGUAAUAUGCUACUUAAAUAUUGUCAUGUUACAUCUAGAGUAACCUAACUACUGUUUCUAACAGUAACAGAACUACUAAUGCCUAGUUAAAAUAUUAAGGUUAUGGAUCAGGGUUAAGUAUUUUUAGGCUUAAUAAUUUAUGACUUGAUUUCCUCUUUUCUUAAAGUCCCCCCUUUCAAAUAACUGAAACUUUGGAGAGUCUUCCUUUGACAUAACAUGAUGGCUAUAAUGACUUGCACUAAUAUGAUUCUGACAGUUGUCGAAUAUAUGUUAGAAAGCAUUCAUGAUCAACCUAAAAUAAGAUGUCUGCAUAAAUGUUAUUCAGUGGCUAUGUUGAAGUGUAAAACAACUGUCAUAAGAAAACAGUAGCAUUGUAGGAUGCAAGAAUUGCAUGUCUCUAAAAGAUGCUAAAUAUUACAGAAUUGUAAAUGUGACAAAAUGGCUAGAAAGUGCCCUGCUGACAAUAGAUAAAAUAUGAAUAUGUAAUA